rnacentral:tRNA from 1 species
CGGGACGUGGCGCAGUCCGGUAGCGCACCUGCUUUGGGAGCAGGGGGUCCCCGGUUCGAAUCCGGGCGUCCCGA